rnacentral:rRNA from 1 species
UACGAAGGGGGCUAGCGUUGCUCGGAAUUACUGGGCUUAAAGGGUGCGUAGGCGGGCUUUUAAGUCAGUGGUGAAAUCUCCGAGCUCAACUCGGAAAUUGCCAUUGAUACUAUUAGUCUUGAAUUAAGUUGAGGUGGGCGGAAUGUGUCAUGUAGCGGUGAAAUGCUUAGAUAUGACACAGAACACCGAUUGCGAAGGCAGCUCGCUAAACUUAUAUUGACGCUGAGGCACGAAAGCGUGGGGAUCAAACAGG